rnacentral:rRNA from 1 species
UACGUAGGGUGCGAGCGUUGUCCGGAAUUAUUGGGCGUAAAGAGCUUGUAGGCGGUCUGUCGCGUCUGCUGUGAAAAUCCGGGGCUCAACCCCGGACUUGCAGUGGGUACGGGCAGACUAGAGUGUGGUAGGGGAGACUGGAAUUCCUGGUGUAGCGGUGAAAUGCGCAGAUAUCUGGAGGAAUACCGGUGGCGAAGGCGGCAUCCUGGACCGGCAUUGACGCUGAGGAGCGAAAGCCAGGGGAGCAAACGGG